CACCUGCCCUCUGCACGUGGGCUGUGAGGAUGGGUAGCCCAGGGCAGGGGUCAGGAACC
rnacentral:precursor_RNA from 1 species